AGAUGAGGGCCAGGUAGAGGGACCAGCCCAGGGAGCCGUCCACACCGUCGGGACGCACUGAGACCCUGUGGAGCAGGUCCACGCCAGCCAGGAAGCAGCACACUGUGCCCAGGGAGCACAGACCUGGAUGGGAAGGACAACAAUGAAUCAGGUGGAGCACUCCUACACAAAGGGUGGGGGUGAUGCUGCGGCAGAGGCAGGCGCACACACCGAUGAGCCCGCUGAGGAACACCAAGGCUAGGGACACCAGAGGCAGCAGGAACUGGCACCUCCACAGGUGAAAAUCAUCACUCCCCAAUCAGUCACCAAUCCAAUCAUCAAUCAGAAGACACACCUCCUCCUGUUUCCUACCCUAUCAGUUCCUUUCCCUUGGUUUAAAAACCCUGUCAGUUGUUUGCUCUAGAGCUCAAUCUCUCUGUAAAUGCCAUGUCUGUAGAUCUCUCUGUUUCACUCUCUCUUUGUGUAUUGACCUCUCUUUUGUUUGAGCACCUCCAUAGCAUUUUGUCCUCACCUGUGAGUAUUGUUUUGGUUAUGGUGUUUGUUUGAUUUCUGGUGGGAAAAGGGGAAUGGGCAUACACUACCCGUAGGUAAACUUUUAAAUACACUAGUUAGAACUGCACGGACCAGCUAACCACUGUAUUUUUGGUUAGCUGUUGUUAAAGUAGGCUAGUCUAGCUUAGGGGUGUUUUUGAAUACUUGUUUCUUUCCUUGGGUCUAGCUCAGCCCAUUUUCCUGCUCCCCCAUUACCGUGUGUUUUACAAUAAACCCUGAGUUUGACGGUA